rnacentral:rRNA from 1 species
UUUAUGGAGAGUUUGAUCCUGGCUCAGGAUGAACGCUGGCGGCGUGCCUAAUACAUGCAAGUCGAGCGAACAGAUAAGGAGCUUGCUCUUUUGACGUUAGCGGCGGACGGGUGAGUAACACGUGGGUAACCUACCUAUAAGACUGGAAUAACUCCGGGAAACCGGGGCUAAUGCCGGAUAACAUGUUGAACCGCAUGGUUCUA